GAGGAAAUAGCUUAGUUGGUUAGAGUAUUGGCCUGUCACGCCAAAGGUCGCGGGUUCAAAUCCCGUUUUUCUCG
rnacentral:tRNA from 1 species